GUUACUCUGUGUGUGACUAUUCGACUUGUUCUCUCUUCUUCUUCUUCUUCACGAUGAACGGCGCGGCGGUCGGAACAACCUCCCUCUUCGAUUCAAAGUCCGGUCACUGAAACUCUUUAUCGCUCGUAUCUCAUCUCUUUCGAUUUCAUAGUUUCUUUUCUGUUUUGGAUUGCAUUGAACUGAUGGCAUUGUCGAUCGAUUGCUGAGAGCAAUGAAGGGGAAGAUGUACUGCAGAUGAAGAUGAUAUAUGUUCUUGAAGAUUGAAGAUUCGAUCAAUGUUUGAUGGAAUUGUACGAAGAAGAUGAUGAAUGAGACGGAAGAGGACUUGAAAUUUCUGAAAUCGGUUGUCAAAAGGGGAAAUUGAAGAUUGCUGCUGCUAUCUUGAUGAAGAAAGAUGAGUUGAGAGUUGAAGAUUGAGGCGCCAAGGAGAGGAUUCAAGUUUCAGAUUGUAAUGAAACUGAGGAUUGGUCUAUGAAGAUGAUGAAGCAUAUGAGGGAGGUGAAGAAGAAUCGUGAGAGAAGUUGAAGAUUGGUUCAGGUUUGAAGAGAGUAAGAUCAAUGAUGAAAUGGUGAAGUUGAAUGAAAGGGAUGAAAUGGUGGAGAGGUUGAAGAAUGAUGAAGAUUGAAUGUGAAGAAGUUGAAGGAGAGUGGUUUAGAUGAUGGGAAAAAUGGAGGAGAAAAAAUGGAGAAUGAGUCGAGAAAAAUGGUUGAGAAGGUGAAGAAGAAUGGAUGAUUCAAGGUGAGAAAAGUGAAGAUGAAGAAAUGGUCGGCCUUUAAAAUGUGAAUGAUGCUGGUGAUAUAUAGAGGUCUGCUUCAUUCUCCUGGACAAGAGAUGAUGGAUUAAAGCUUGGAGAAAGAUACUCAUGAUGAAGUUUAGGAUUAAGAACACGAUAGCUUGCAAUGUGAUGUAGAUUUAACCGAAUCUUGUAACGGAUUGAAUUUGGUCUUGUAAUGAAAUUGUAAUGGUGUAAUUGGAUUUAUAUCUUGUAAUGGAAUUGUAUUUUUGAUGAA